rnacentral:rRNA from 1 species
UACGUAGGGUGCAAGCGUUAAUCGGAAUUACUGGGCGUAAAGCGUGCGCAGGCGGUUAUGUAAGACAGGUGUGAAAUCCCCGGGCUUAACCUGGGAACUGCAUUUGUGACUGCAUAGCUAGAGUACGGUAGAGGGGGAUGGAAUUCCGCGUGUAGCAGUGAAAAUGCGUAGAUAUGCGGAGGAACACCGAUGGCGAAGGCAAUCCCCUGGACCUGUACUGAC